rnacentral:rRNA from 1 species
AACGAACGCUGGCGGCACGCUUAACACAUGCAAGUCGAACGGAGGGUGCUUGCACCUUCAGUGGCAAACGGGUGAGUAACACGUGGGAAUCUGCCUUUUGGUGGGGGAUAACUGGGGGAAACCUCAGCUAAUACCGCAUAAGCUCGGAAACGAGGAAAGAUUAAUUGCCAAGAGAGGAGCCCGCGUCAGAUUAGGUAGUUGGUGGGGUAAUGGCCUACCAAGCCUGUGAUCUGUAGCUGGUCUGAGAGGAUGAUCAGCCACACUGGGAUUGAGAAACGGCCCAGACUCCUACGGGAGGCAGCAGUGAGGAAUAUUGGACAAUGGGGGAAACCCUGAUCCAGCGAUGCCGCGUGGAUGAAGAAGGCCUUCGGGUUGUAAAGUCCUUUCACCCGUGAAGAUAAUGACGGUAGCGGGAGAAGAAGCCCCGGCUAACUCUGUGCCAGCCGCCGCCGUAACAC